rnacentral:rRNA from 1 species
GAUGAACGCUGGCGGCGUGCCUAAUACAUGCCAGUCGAGCGAACGGACGAGAAGCUUGCUUUUCUGAUGUUAGCGGCGGACGGGUGAGUAACACGUGGAUAACCUACCUAUAAGACUGGGAUAACUUCGGGAAACCGGAGCUAAUACCGGAUAAUAUUUUGAACCGCAUGGUUCAAAAGUGAAAGACGGUCUUGCUGUCACUUAUAGAUGGAUCCGCGCUGCAUUAGCUAGUUGGUAAGGUAACGGCUUACCAAGGCAACGAUGCAUAGCCGACCUGAGAGGGUGAUCGGCCACCCUGGAGCGGGGACACGGUCCAUACUCCUACGGGAGGCAGCAGUAGGGAACCUUCCGCAAUGGGCGAAAGCCUGACGGAGCAACGCCGCGUGAGUGAUGAAGGUCUUCGGAUCGUAAAACUCUGUUAUUAGGGAAGAACAUAUGUGUAAGUAACUGUGCACAUCUUGACGGUACCUAAUCAGAAAGCCACGGCUAACUACGUG